AUACGUAGGGGGCGAGCGUUGUCCGGAAUCACUGGGCGUAAAGGGCGCGUAGGCGGUAUAUUAAGUCAGGUGUGAAAGUUUUCGGCUCAACCGGAAAAGUGCACUUGAAACUAAUAAACUUGAGUACUGGAGAGGUAAGCGGAAUUCCUAGUGUAGCGGUGAAAUGCGUAGAUAUUAGGAGGAACACCGGUGGCGAAGGCGGCUUACUGGACAGAGACUGACGCUGAGGCGCGAAAGCGUGGGGAGCAAACAGGAUUAGAUACCCUGGUAGUCCACGCCGUAAACGAUGAGUAUUAGGUGUUGGUGAGCAUCAGUGCCGGAGUUAACACAAUAAAUACUCCGCCUGGCGAGUACGGUCGCAAGACUGAA
rnacentral:rRNA from 1 species